rnacentral:rRNA from 1 species
AGUGAACGCUGGCGGUAGGCCUAACACAUGCAAGUCGAACGGCAGCACAGUAAGAGCUUGCUCUUACGGGUGGCGAGUGGCGGACGGGUGAGGAAUACAUCGGCAUCUACUUUUUCGUGGGGGAUAACGUAGGGAAACUUACGCUAAUACCGCAUACGACCUACGGGUGAAAGCAGUGGAUCUUCGGACCUUUCGCGAUUGAAUGAGCCGAUGUCGGAUUAGCUAGUUGGCGGGGUAAAGGCCCACCAAGGCGACGAUCCGUAGCUGGUCUGAGAGGAUGAUCAGCCACACUGGAACUGAGACACGGUCCAGACUCCUACGGGAGGCAGCAGUGGGGAAUAUUGGACAAUGGGCGCAAGCCUGAUCCAGCCAUACCGCGUGGGUGAAGAAGGCCUUCGGGUUGUAAAGCCCUUUUGUUGGGAAAGAAAAGAAGUAGGUUAAUACCCCGCUGUUCUGACGGUACCCAAAGAAUAAGCAACGGCUAACUUCGUG